GACGAACGCUGGCGGCGUGCUUAACACAUGCAAGUCGAACGGAACGGCCCUGCUUUUGUGGGGUGCUGGAGUGGCGGACGGGUGAGCAACACGUGAGUACCCUGUCCUUGACUUUGGGGUAACUUAAGGAAAGUGGGGGUAAUCCCGGAUAGGAGCUCCUGCUGCAUGGUGGGGGUUGGUAGGUUUCGCUGGUUGGGGAUGGACUAGCGGCUGAUCGGCUUGUUGGUGGGGUAGUGUGUUAGCAAGACUUUGACGGGUGGCCGGCCUGAGCGGGUGACCGGCCACGUUGGGACGGGGAUACGGCCCAGACUCCAACGGGAGGCAGAGGUGGGGAAGAUUACACAAUGGGCGGAAGCCUGAUGCAACAACGCCGCGUGCGGGAAGACGUCCUGCGGGUUGUAAACCACUUUCGCCUGAGACGAAGCGUGAGUGACGGUAAUGGGUAAAGAAGCACCGGCUAACUACGUG
rnacentral:rRNA from 1 species